UAGCUGUCUCCUAUAUUGUCCCAACUGGGGAUUGUACCACAACCUAGGUGUUCCCUGACUGGGAAUCAAACCUACAGCCUUUUUGAUGUAGAGAAUAACACUCCAACCACCUGAACCACCCAGCUGGGGCGGUAGGUUUUUUUCCUAGGGUCAGAUAGUAAAUAUUUUAGGCUUUAGGCCACAUAUGAUGUCUGUUGCAACUACCCAACUCUGCUGAAUGAAGGUUGCCAUAGAUAAUGCAAAUAAAUGGGUGAGGCUGUGUUCUGAUAAAUUCUUAGUUACAGAAACAGGCAGCUGGCCAUGGGCAGUAGUUUCCAGUCCUUGUUUUAAGACAUGAGAAAAGACAGAUUUUCUGUCCAUUAAGAUAAACUCCUUACCUCCCAAAAUUAUACUACUGGUGGAAACUAUCAGUUUAUAGUUUCUUCCCAUAAAAUGCAUACUGGAAACUCCUAUCAGUAUCUUGGUGUUUCUUUUCAGGUGAAGAUUUAUUAUUUUUUUCCCUUGAAAAGAUUUUAGAAGUAAUGGAUAUUUUUCAUUUCAGCAGCAACCAUCUCAGGCAAGGGAAAGGCCUGCCUGAACUUCUGCCAGUGUUUGCUCACAGCAGAGUGCACACCAGCUCUACCUGUGUGUGGCCCCAACUUCAUCACCUGCUUCUGUAUUCAGAGAGAAAACGUAGUACUGCCUGGAGGGCAAGCUGAUAUUUAGAACUCUUUCUCCUGUAAAAUGCUGCUGCUCACAGUCCUCUGUAUAGCAAGAAUGGUGUGGCUCCAUGGAAAUAAUUACUCUAUGUGGUAGAAGCAGUAUUUAUGCCACUUUUUAAAAAGCCUUCUGAUCCAAGAAUCAGGCAGUGAAUUUUAAUAGAAAAUUGUAGAAAGAUCUAUUGUGCAAAGAAUUAGUUGCUGUGUUUUUUAAAAAAUAUAUUUUUUAUUGAUUUUUUUUUUUACAGAGAGGAAGGGAGAGGGAUAGAGAGUUAGAAACAUCAAUGAGAGAGAAACAUCAAUCAACUGCCUUCUGCACACCCCCUACUGGGGAUGUGCCCGCAACCAAGGUAUAUGCCCUUGACCAGAAUCGAACCUGGGACCCUUCAGUCCGCAGGCCGACGCUCUAUCCACUGAGCCAAACUGAUUAGGGCUGCUGUGGUUUUUUGAUUUCAUAUAUUGUUUGAGGUGUAUUCCUUAAAAUAAUCAGAUCUGGAAAAACGUUCUAACCAGAGGGAGAAAGGAAACACUGAAUGUACGUUUUUGUGCCUACUAGUUAAAUACUUUAUAUCUCGUUUUGACCUCCCCAAACCCUAAGAACUAUGUAUCUUCAUUUAUUGAAGAACAGGCCUAGAGAGGAUGAUUUGCCCAAUCUUAACAUUAUGUGGUAAGUGUUUGAGCUUUAAGUCCUAAAAUGAUUGACAGUAUUAGCAUUCCACUACAGUUUAUCCGUUCUCAUUUGGGCACUAGGAGGGGGCUUCUUUUCUCUAACAGACAAAAAACAAUAGGCAUGCAAAAAAUUCUCACACUUACGCAAACUACAAUGAUAAAGGGACAUCCCUGCUUUAUUACAAUAUCUUGGUAUAACUCACAUUUUUGGGGAUGAAAAAGUUGAAUAAUUCUAUAUGUUCUUAGGAGAAAAAAGCAUUACCAGGUGUCAAAUGGCCAAGAAAGUCCCUGGACUGCUAAAGCAGGAUUGCCCAGUGGUCUCUUAACACAUUCCAUCACUCAGUUCUUCCCAUUGUUUGUGAAUAGAUGGGUACAAUACUCUUUUCCAGUAUAACACACCUUUGAAUUUGGUCAUCACCCAAAGGAAAGAGAGGCUGGUGUCUGACAGUUCAGUGGCAAUAUUGGGCCAAUAAAUAAUGACUACUUUUGCCCCAGGAGCAUGGAAACCACCAGUCACAAGUCUGUAAGGUCAAGAAGACUGACAGUCUAAGGUAAAUUCCAAUUCAUCACAGCGCAUCAGGUCCCCGAAUAAUAUACCUGGCUCUUUAAAGUGUAAGGUGCAGUGUUGAGCAUGGAAUCUGUGGAGACCUUAAUUAUCCUACUAAUGACAUUUGCCUAGUAUUCAGGAAGCUGAUGACGGUUUGAAGUAUGAGGGGAUAAAAGCCAAUUUUGUAGCAAGGAACAGCACCUACAAAGUUCAUGCUUCGAAAGGAGAGCAGCUGGGACAAGUUUCACAAGCAGCGCUCAAUCCCAGCCCAGCCGAGGUCUUCAGUACUUCAACACACAGAGCGUCUUGUGCAGCUCCUCUUCUCCCUGCAGUGAAGAUGGAGACAACAGGGACACUCACUACCUCCUGUCGUGUCCCAUUUACCUUGAAGUGCUGAUGACAACAUUUGAGACCAGUGUUAGGGUUGGUCUCCCCUCCUGGCUGUGUUCCUGCAGUUCCUGCACCUCUGCUCUUCUAAUCAACGGUCUGCAAGCGUGGAGCAUGCCUUUAUGCCCAAGCAGAAAUCUCCAGAGACCCCCCGUGACGGUGCACGUCUCCGUGAAGACUGAAGUCCCACUUGGGACCCAGCCUAUGCUUCAAAAGCAGUGCCCAUUCUGAGUCAGCGCUUAGUGUGGCUUACAGUGGAGCCUGGGACGACAGUGCAGCGACUGUCUUUAAACACCCUCCUUUCUGGAUGUUCCCAGGACAAAGCUCAGCCUGGAGCUUCUCUCACCUUUCAGUCCCCCUGAACAAGGGUUUCUUGUUUUACUUACCAACCACUUAAGCCCUAAUAGGAUGGAAGUUCAAAAGGGCUUCCUUAGGACAUUGAGAAGCUGUCAAAUGGUCAUUUACGUCUUCAAUAGUAUGGCUUUAACUACUGGGUCGUUUUUAAAUAAGUUAUUUGUAACGCGGCUUUUGCAAGAAGCAUCCACAAACACUAUACUUCACUACAUUUAAUUUCUGUGACCCAACUAAUAAGGUGGCCGUGAACAAACUCCAGCAACCUGUGAACUCACUGAUGGGAGUUUUGUCCUACUCAAACUCAGAACUGCUUUAGCAUGACUUUCCCGAGAGCGUCUCCACAUCCUCACUCACCACAAUCGCAUUUGGCUCCUCAUCCGUCCCUCCUGCCACACUGAAUCCCAGACCCGAGCCUUCUUUUUUGGUCAAGACUAUGAAGCAGACAUCUUUAUUCUAUUGAGAAGAAACAGAAGAAAAAAGUAUAUUCCCUGUGCCAAGAGUAACAGCAUACUGGAAGCUGAUCGAUCGUCAGGCCGGAUUUUGCUUCUGAGAAGCUCAGUACAGCAUCAGGAAAGCUAGAAGCACCAUCAGGGGCUCCCCAAGGUUUAGCUCUCCAGAAACCAGAAGACCGGGGCUUGUUUUUUGACUCUAGUCUCUCACAGCACCCUCAGAAGCCAAAGAAACUGUUCUGAACAGUUCCAUUUUCAACACCUACACACCAUACUCAUUGAGAAAAAGCAAGGCAGGAAACUUCUGGUCUAAAGAUGGCAGAGUGAGGACAUCUGUACUUGCCCGGAACCAACUGAAGACAACUGCAUGUUGACGAAAACAAGCAUGAUCUUCAACACCACGCAUAAAACCUGCCUGCAUGGUGGUGAAUAGGAACUGAGGUGAGGAGAGGCCCCAGAUGACUCCAGGUGGCGCUCGGCACCCUGUGCACACACACAGUCUACCCUGGGGUCCCUCCCUUUUGUGAGGUUGGUUGAGACCAUUUUAUCUAUCAUGAGUACAGGUGGCCCCUGGCACAGCGUGAUCAGACCUUGACUGGAAAUCACCAAGUGAGUCCACGUGCAAAAUGCUUACUUACUGCAACAAGUGGAAGGAGGAAGGAGACAAUAGAUUAGUCCCUUUUACUGAAAGUGAAAAAUGCUAGAUGCCUCAGGGUGUUUCCUGGCUGCACAGACCCAGACCAGUGGGCGGAGAACCAGGAGAGGCCGCUAAUGGCCACUGGUCUCAUCCCACCCACCUCCCCUCCCUCUGGCUCACUCCUCAUUGGAGGCCAGCGUCACAGCCCUUCUAGUGUUAGAAUUCUGGAUGAUACCAGUGACCCAGGUACUCAAGGUACUCUACUUGCUUUUUUCUCUAAGUAGAAAAUUUUUAUUUCUUAGGGUUCGAAUCUCUGUGGAUAGUCCCAAGAAGUAUUCUAGUUAGGAAACCCUGGUUUCAAUUGUUACUGUUACCGUCACAUCCAAUUUUUUAUGACUAUUUAGCUUCUUUGUCUGGAACCCCAGGCUUCAGAAAUUCUUACACUUGGGGCCAGGGCAAGGCCACACAGGCAUUAACUCAUCUCCCCAGCAGGUGGCGCCCUUGACAGGUAGUAGUUUAUGUCCACCUAGGUGGACAAAGGUGCUUGUGCUCAUUCUCCACCACAAGUACCUUUGAGGACUCUCUGCAGACAAACUCCAAAUGCAGGGUGGGAUGGGGAGGUCAGUAACUAGUCCCCACUGGGGAAUUAAAUGAGCAACUGCACCAAUCUGCCACCUAAAAACACAAGACAAGGUUUAGCUUCUAAAGCAGUCUGCAAGCAAGUGAGAUUGGGCUGUGAGCUCACAACAGGAGACCUGGAGAAGGGCUCACGAACCUCUGAGUGCGUGGCUGUACCUGGGCACUGACGUGGCAGCAGUUCUGUGUCCGUGUUCCCUGCAUUUCACUCACCUCUGAUUGUGCUUUCGCUUCCUGCAUGAGAGUCAGGAUGGUAGAUUUCGACCUUGCCGAUGACAAAACAGACUGUAAUCUUUGCUGAUCCCCCGCUGAGACUAGAAGUUGAUCCAAACUAAAUAAUAUAAAUACAUUAGGAGAACAUUAAAGAAAAAGCAAUUUCUCUAUUUUGUAACGACGCAUUUAAAACAAUCUCCUUUAGAUUGUAUUGUAGGUAUUUUCAGUGGAAAUAACUAUGGAUUCAGGGAUUCCCCAAGGUGUUAGGGGACCAAUGUGGUAAACAAAAGUUGUUAUAUUAAAAAAUAUACAAUGUAUAGGCUCAAAUGAAA